GAUGAACGCUGGCGGCAUGCCUAACACAUGCAAGUCGAUCGGUAAGGCUCUUCGGAGUACACGAGAGGCGGACGGCUGAGUAACGCGUAGGAACACACCCUGCAGUGAGGGAUAAGACACCGAAAGGUGUUCUAAUACCGCAUACGGUCUUCGGAUUAAAGCAUUUAUGCGCUGAAGGAGUGGCCUGCGUCAUAUUAGAUAGUUGGUGAGGUAAUGGCUCACCAAGUCGAUGAUGUGUAGCUGGUCUGAGAGGAUGAUCAGCCAGACUGGAACUGAGACACGGUCCAGACUCCUACGGGAGGCAGCAGUGAGGAAUAUUGCACAAUGAGCGAAAGCUUGAUGGAGCAAUGCCGCGUGCAGGAUGAAGGCCCUCGGGUUGUAAAAUGCUUUUAUAAGAGAAGAUUAUGACGGUAACUUAUGAAUAAGGGACGGCUAACUACGUG
rnacentral:rRNA from 1 species